AAAAUUAUGAAUUAAUUAAUGGAGGUUUACACUUUUAUCAUGUUGAUUUUUCCUAUCCAGAAAUAUGGUAUGCUUUUAUUAUUUGUUCAUACCUAUUUUUAUUGUUUUCCAUUACUAGUGUUAUAUAGUUUCUUCACAUAAAUUUUGCACAUGUCUCAUUAGGUUUCCUGUGUAUAAGUCAGAGUCCCAGCAAGAAAGGUAUAGCAGAUAUUCAAAUGGGCUAAUGGAGGGGAGUUUGAUGAAAGGAUUAUUUUCAAAGGUGAGGAAAAGGUUAAGGAGACUCAACAAGGGACAGUGUAAAAGCUAAUUUUAGGUGUACACUUGACUGGAUUAAGUAAUACCUAGAGAGCUAGUAAAGGAUUAUUUCUGGGUCUAUGAGGGUGAUUUUGGAAAAGAUUGACAUUUAAGCCAGCAGACUGUGUAAGGAAGAUCCACUCUCACUCAGUGUGAGCGAGGACCAUCCAGUCGGCUCAGGGCCCAGAUAGAACAAAAAGGCAGAAGAAAGUCAGAUUCACUCUCUGUCUUCUGGAACUGAAACACUUUCUUUUCCUGCCAUAGGACAUCAGAACCCUAGGUUCUCUGGUCCUCGGACUCUGAGACUUACACCAGCAAUCCUGCCCAGGCUCUCAGGCCUUUGGACUCAGACUGAGCUACUUCACUGGCUUUCCUGGGUCUCCAGCUUGAAGAUGACAGACCGUGGGCCUUCUCAGCCUCCAUAAACGUGUGAGCCAAUUCCCAUGGCUUACAGGUGGAAAGGACUUACCUUGUCUCAGAUGAGACUUUCGACUUUGAACUUUUGGGUUAAUACUUGAACGAGUUAAGACUUUGGAGGACUGUUGUGAAGGACACACUUGGAUAAUCCAGAAUGAUUUCAUCUUGAGAUUCUUGAUUUAAUUACAUCUGCAAAUGAGACAAGUUUUCAAAUAAGAUAAUAUUCACAGGCUCCAGGCAUUUGAUGAGGAUACAACAAGAAGGUGGCCAUCUGCAGGCCAGGAGGUGUCCCCUCCCCAGAAACUGGAUGAGCCAGCACGUUGAUUCUGAACUUCUAGCCUCCAGAACUGUAAGAAAUAAAUUUCUAUUGUUUAAGCCACCUGGUCAUGAUAUACUGUUGUAG
rnacentral:lncRNA from 1 species